GAAAUGCGAUAAGUAAUGUGAAUUGCAGAAUUCAGUGAAUCAUCGAAUCUUUGAACGCACAUUGCGCCCGCCAGCAUUCUGGCGGGCAUGCCUGUUCGAGCGUCAUUUCAACCCUCGAGCUCGUCUUCAUUGACGGGAUCGGUGUUGGGACCCGGCGAGCGGGGACUUUUGUCCUCUGCCGGCCCCGAAAUUCAGUGGCGGCCCGUUGCGGCGACCUCUGCGUAGUAACUCAACCUCGCACCGGUAACAGCAUCGUGGCCACGCCGUAAAACCCCCGACUUUUAUAAGGUUGACCUCGAAUCAGGUAGGACUACCCGCUGAACUUAA
rnacentral:misc_RNA from 1 species